CACCUCUAUUUCUUUCGCAAGAGCUUUGUUCAAGAAACAGACUGAAAAUCAAUAAGCAAACGCCAAUCAGAUCAUAACAGUCCCAAGAAACAGAUCAUAAUACAUUGCAGAAAGAGUAAAAAACUUGAAAAUCUAUUAUUAUCUACUCAAUUAAUCGUGGAAAACUAAAGAAACAGGUUGAAAAUCAUUAAGCACAAGUGAAAACAAAAAAAUAAGCAGAGUUUCCUCCAAGAAAAAGCCAUCAGCAGCCUAGUAAAAAAACCUCCUGGUCACCGGAAUCUCCGGGGGCGGCGGACGGACCUCAGCGGCGGGGACAAUCUCUCUUAACGGACCUGACAUGUCAUCCUUCAAUAGAGUAUGAUACUGCACCAUGUAUUCUUUCCUUAACUGCCCCGUCGCCACCACUGUUGCCUCAUAGUAAGAUCCAAGAAAGCCUUCUUCAUUGCUGGUUAUUUCCACAACUUCACCAGCCCUAUGAAACUUCAUCGUUUUCUCUUCGGAAAUUGAAAUUGGAUUCAAAAUUUUGGGUAUUCUCUAGAUAGAGAAACGGUUCGAUGUUUGUAUUGAGAUAUUACUGUAUAUGUAGGGGUUUUUAUUAGUUAUUACGCUUUUGGAGUUGGGGUUGGAAUCAGGAAAG
rnacentral:lncRNA from 1 species